CGGGCUGUAGCGCAGUCUGGCUAGCGCGCUUGGUUCGGGACCAAGAGGUCCAGGGUUCAAAUCCCUGCAGCCCGA
rnacentral:tRNA from 1 species